AUUGAACGCUGGCGGCAGGCCUAACACAUGCAAGUCGAGCGGAUGAAGGGAGCUUGCUCCUGGAUUCAGCGGCGGACGGGUGAGUAAUGCCUAGGAAUCUGCCUGGUAGUGGGGGAUAACGUCCGGAAGCGGGCGCUAAUACCGCAUACGUCCUGAGGGAGAAAGUGGGGGAUCUUCGGACCUCACGCUAUCAGAUGAGCCUAGGUCGGAUUAGCUAGUUGGUGGGGUAAAGGCCUACCAAGGCGACGAUCCGUAACUGGUCUGAGAGGAUGAUCAGUCACACUGGAACUGAGACACGGUCCAGACUCCUACGGGAGGCAGCAGUGGGGAAUAUUGGUCAAUGGGCGAAAGCCUGAUCCAGCCAUGCCGCGUGUGUGAAGAAGGUCUUCGGAUUGUAAAGCACUUUAAGUUGGGAGGAAGGGCAGUAAGUUAAUACCUUGCUGUUUUGACGUUACCAACAGAAUAAGCACCGGCUAACUUCGUG
rnacentral:rRNA from 1 species